rnacentral:rRNA from 1 species
UACGAAGGGGGCUAGCGUUGCUCGGAUUGACUGGGCGUAAAGAGCUCGUAGGCGGUUCAGUAAGUCGGGUGUGAAAACUCUGGGCUCAACCUCGAGACGCCGAUGGAAACCGUCUGGCUAGAGUCCGGAAGAGGAGAGUGGAAUUCCUGGUGUAGCGGUGAAAUGCGCAGAUAUCAGGAAGAACACCCGUGGCUAAGGCGGCUCUCUAGUACGGUACUGACGCUGAGACGCGAAAGCGUGGGGAGCGAACAGG